GACGAACGCUGGCGGCGUGCUUAACACAUGCAAGUCGAACGGUGAAAGCGGAGCUUGCUCCGCUGGAUCAGUGGCGAACGGGUGAGUAACACGUGGGCAACCUGCCCCUCACUUCGGGAUAACUCCGGGAAACCGGGGCUAAUACCGGAUAUGACCUCCUUGGGCAUCCUUGGAGGUGGAAAGUUUUUCGGUGAGGGAUGGGCCCGCGGCCUAUCAGCUUGUUGGUGAGGUAGUGGCUCACCAAGGCGACGACGGGUAGCCGGCCUGAGAGGGCGACCGGCCACACUGGGACUGAGACACGGCCCAGACUCCUACGGGAGGCAGCAGUGGGGAAUAUUGCGCAAUGGGCGAAAGCCUGACGCAGCAAUGCCGCGUGCGGGAUGACGGCCUUCGGGUUGUAAACCGCUUUCAGCAGGGAAGAAGCCGCAAGGUGACGGUACCUGCAGAAGAAGCACCGGCUAACUACGUGCCAGCAGCAGCCGCAG
rnacentral:rRNA from 1 species